UUAAUUUAAUUUUUGAUUCUC
rnacentral:piRNA from 1 species